rnacentral:rRNA from 1 species
AUGGGACCUUACUUUCAGAGCUACAAAGGCGUUCACCAAGGUGACUCCCAUUCCCCAUUUUUAUUUAACCUCGCUGUGGAAGCUCUGUCUAAGAUGAUUCGCAAUGCUCAAAAGGAAAAAAUGAUUACUGGACUAGCUCCAGACCUCAUUGAGAAUGGCAUAGCCAUCCUCCAAUAUGCUGACGACACAGUCAUCUGUUUUGAACAUGAGGAGGAGGCUGCUGUUAACUUGAAGCUCCUCUUAUAUAUUUUUGAACUCAUGUCUGGUCUAAAGAUAAACUUCCUUAAGAGUGAAAUCCUGUGUGUGGGAGGAGAUGAUAAUGUACUAGCUUCCUAUGCUGAUCUUUUCAACUGUCAAAUUGGGCACUUCCCGAUGAAAUACUUGGGAGUGUCGGUAAGCUACUCCACCUUGCGUAGCCUGGACUGGAGUUUUGUAGAUGACAAAUUCCUCAAAUGUUGUGAAACAGGAUUGGGAACGCUGCAUCCUCGGGAGGAAGACUUGUACUCCUAA